rnacentral:rRNA from 1 species
UGGGGAAUUUUGGACAAUGGGGGAAACCCUGAUCCAGCCAUCCCGCGUGUGCGAUGAAGGCCUUCGGGUUGUAAAGCACUUUUGGCAGGAAAGAAACGUCAUGGGUUAAUACCCCGUGAAACUGACGGUACCUGCAGAAUAAGCACCGGCUAACUACGUGCCAGCAGCCGCGGUAAUACGUAGGGUGCAAGUGUUAAUCGGAAUUACUGGGCGUAAAGCGUGCGCAGGCGGUUCGGAAAGAAAGAUGUGAAAUCCCAGAGCUCAACUUGGGAACUGCAUUUUUAACUACCGGGCUAGAGUGUGGCAGAGGGAGGUGGAAUUCCGCGUGUAGCAGUGAAAUGCGUAGAUAUGCGGAGGAACACCGAUGGAGAAGGCAGCCUCCUGGGAUAACACUGACGCUCAUGCAAGAAAGCGUGGGGAGCAAACAGG